GUUCCAGAAUGUCCAGUUGCCCCUCUAAAUGGAGCAGCUUGGCCUUUCCUGGGGGACCAAGGCACUUCUCCAGAAGGACUGCAGCCCGUGAACCUGGACUUCAAACAACAAAUGUGCCGAGCUCACAUGAACUUGAAGUUGCCCUUUUCUUUGUGACAUCCAUAAACAUUUAUGAAGCUUUGUUUUUA